CCAACCUUUCUAGCCACAGCUGCAGCCAGCUGUGAGAUGGGUUGGAUUAAGACAAAAAAGCCACACUUGCUGGCCCAAGACAUAAAAAAUCCAAAUGGAAAGAGGACAGGAUAUAAAACAAGAGACACAAGACUCAGCCACAUUCUCCAUGACAGUUAAAAGAGGAAACACGGGCUCCUCUGCCAGAGGGUGGAGAUACUCAUAUUCUGCCUUGUAAGUGGGAUUCUCUCUGUGCUAUUUCUUGCCAGACUUAGACAUGACACAGAUUGCUUUUCAGUCUCUGGUUGUUAGGUUAGAGAGGCUCUGUCCCCCCACAGGCUGGACUUGAGACCAGAUACCAUCACAUCCCUCAAGAAGCUCACAGUCCAGUAAGCAAAGCAGGUGCACAGUGACCACGUUAGAACAUGGUAAGCAUGCGAUGAAGAUCUGUGAGCAUCACCCGUCCCCAUGGGAACAGAGGUAUGAGCAGAUCACCCCAUCCCCCAUGGAAACACGGGAUAUUUCCGCCUGCAAUAGGGAAAAGAUGUAAGAACACCUAAAGUGGAAGUUUUUCAGGCGCAGCAAAUGGCCAGGAAGUCAAAAAAGGUUGCAGCAUCAUGGCAGGAAAGGGAAGGUAUCUAGUGUGCUCAACACAGUGGGGUCUUGGGGAAAAGAAUGCUUUAAAGACCCUGCUUUAGGGCAGGGGAACCUCAGUGGAGCAGAUGCCAAGAGCCUGAGGUGCCAGGAUCCAGACCUUAGCCAGUAAAGGGGAGGCCUGUUUCUGCAGAAGCGGAAAUCUUGUGAAGCUUACAGGUGAGUGGGUUUAAUGAGACAGGGUCUUACUGCAUAGCCCAGACUGACUUACAAUACACAGUGUCAUGCAACCUAGGGUGGCCUCAACUCAGAGCAAUUCUCCUGCCUCCAUUUCCAGGGCAGAGCUACAGAUAUAGGUUGCCAUGGCAUUUCUGAGUCAUUGUUUGGUUAAUAGACAAACCAACUCUUGUGUAGACUUGCAUUUAACAUGGGCCCUCAACUAGCUAGGACUAAGAAAAACCAUGUCUCUGUAAACCCCAUUUAUAAAACCGAAGCGAUCCAAGUAGCUCCCACAUGGGAUUGCUUUAAGGACUGAGUUGAUACAUGCCAAUCAUUUAGACGUGCACUUGACACACAUUAUUUCCCACCAGCAUGCCCUCCCAUUUUAGAAGCUACGCCUGCCUGCCUGCCUGCCUGCCUGCCUGCCUGCCUGCCCUCCUGCCUACAGCCAGUACUCCUUCCAGGCAUCGAGAGUCACCCAAGAUGGCCAAGGGUCUUCCAAAGAUGUCAAGGUAU